CCUACGGGGGGCUGCAGUGGGGAAUAUUGGACAAUGGGGGCAACCCUGAUCCAGCCAUGCCGCGUGUGUGAAGAAGGCCCUCGGGUUGUAAAGCACUUUCAGUGAGGAAGAACGCCUGGUGGUUAAUACCCAUCAGGAAAGACAUCACUCACAGAAGAAGCACCGGCUAACUCCGUGCCAGCAGCCGCGGUAAUACGGAGGGUGCGAGCGUUAAUCGGAAUUACUGGGCGUAAAGCGCGCGUAGGUGGCUUGAUAAGCCGGUUGUGAAAGCCCCGGGCUCAACCUGGGAACGGCAUCCGGAACUGUCAAGCUAGAGUGCAGGAGAGGAAGGUAGAAUUCCCGGUGUAGCGGUGAAAUGCGUAGAGAUCGGGAGGAAUACCAGUGGCGAAGGUGGCCUUCUGGACUGACACUGACACUGAGGUGCGAAAGCGUGGGUAGCAAACAGGAUAGAUACCCGAGUAGUC
rnacentral:rRNA from 1 species